rnacentral:rRNA from 1 species
AUUGAACGCUGGCGGCAUGCCUUACACAUGCAAGUCGAACGGUAACAGGCCUUCGGGUGCCGACGAGUGGCGAACGGGUGAGUAAUACAUCGGAACGUGCCCGAUCGUGGGGGAUAACGAGGCGAAAGCUUUGCUAAUACCGCAUACGAUCUACGGAUGAAAGCAGGGGACCGCAAGGCCUUGCGCGGACGGAGCGGCCGAUGGCAGAUUAGGUAGUUGGUGGGAUAAAAGCUUACCAAGCCGACGAUCUGUAGCUGGUCUGAGAGGAUGAUCAGCCACACUGGGACUGAGACACGGCCCAGACUCCUACGGGAGGCAGCAGUGGGGAAUUUUGGACAAUGGGCGCAAGCCUGAUCCAGCCAUGCCGCGUGCAGGAUGAAGGCCUUCGGGUUGUAAACUGCUUUUGUACGGAACGAAAAGCCUUCUUUUAAUACAGGAGGGUCAUGACGGUACCGGAAGAAUAAGCACCGGCUAACUACGUG